UGGCGCCCUCUUUCGGUAUUUAUAGGCAUAUCUCAACAUUCUUGUUCUAUCUCAGCAUUCACAUUCUUAUUCAAUCGUUCUGUGGUUCAUGACAGUGACUUCGCACUGUCGUUUCUCGUUUCAAAUUUUAAGCCCCCACUCACGAACUCUGUCAAUGUCAAGUCAAACCCUUUCUCUUUGUCAAAAUGAAGAAUAUUUUUUAUUUUAAUUCUAAAAUCUACUUAAGGCAAAUGUCUGGCCUCAUAGCCACAUUUUCAAACAGACGUUCUUAAUUGGGUUUUCUGGACAAAUAAGAAUCUUCACCGGACAACCCUUCACCUCGUGGGAGGACUCCCUGAACCUGGAGCCCCCAAUAUCGCCGGCGAUGCUACAGUAAUUUAGCAUAGACACCACACCAUCAACCAACACCUGUAGGCCUGGUGGCCAGAACAUCCACGUCGCCAGAGCCCGUUGCAGAACAACAGCAAGACACCAAGAACCUGCAGACAGAUACCAAGUGCCAUCGAUAAGUAUAAUCUCUGAUCUGUAAAGUUUCGGCAAGGUCUUUUAAAUUAUUUUUUUUAAUACAUUAAUUAUGUCUUUUAUGAAAAAUAAACAUGAUUAGUUAAA
rnacentral:lncRNA from 1 species